GCAUAUCAAUAAGCGGAGGAAAAGAAACCAACAGGGAUUGCCCUAGUAACGGCGAGUGAAGCGGCAACAGCUCAAAUUUGAAAUCUGGCCCUCGGGUCCGAGUUGUAAUUUGUAGAGGAUGCUUUUGGUGCGGUGCCUUCCGAGUUCCCUGGAACGGGACGCCAUAGAGGGUGAGAGCCCCGUCUGGUUGGACGCCAAUCCUCUGUAAAGCUCCUUCGACGAGUCGAGUAGUUUGGGAAUGCUGCUCUAAAUGGGAGGUAUAUGUCUUCUAAAGCUAAAUACCGGCCAGAGACCGAUAGCGCACAAGUAGAGUGAUCGAAAGAUGAAAAGCACUUUGAAAAGAGAGUUAAAAAGCACGUGAAAUUGUUGAAAGGGAAGCGCUUAUGACCAGACUUGGGCUUGGUUGAUCAUCCGGCGUUCUCGCCGGUGCACUCUUCCGGCUCAGGCCAGCAUCAGUUCGCCGCGGGGGAUAAAGGCUGCGGGAAUGUGGCUCCCUCGGGAGUGUUAUAGCCCGCUGCGCAAUGCCCUGUGGCGGACUGAGGUACGCGUUCUGCAAGGAUGCUGGCGUAAUGGUCAUCAGUGACCCGUCUUGAAACACGGACC
rnacentral:rRNA from 1 species